rnacentral:rRNA from 1 species
UACAGAGGGGGCAAGCGUUAUUCGGAAUUACUGGGCGUAAAGGGCGCGUAGGCGGCCUUGUCAGUCAGACGUGAAAUCCCCAGGCUUAACCUGGGAACUGCGUCUGAUACUACAAGGCUUGAGUGCGGGAGAGGGAUGUGGAAUUCCAGGUGUAGCGGUGAAAUGCGUAGAUAUCUGGAGGAACACCGGUGGCGAAGGCGGCAUCCUGGACCGACACUGACGCUGAGGCGCGAAAGCUAGGGGAGCAAACGGG